GCUGCUGCCUCCGCUGGGGUUUCCUCUGAAUCUGUGGGCUCCUCUCCACAGCACAUGUGCACAGGCCUUCUCUGUCUCUCUCUGGGGGCCGUGGAAGGCCAGUGGUGACCCUUUUGAGCCCGGCUCUUUUCUGCUGCUUUGGCUGGCAUAGACGGCCUCUAUCCCAGAUGAGAAAACAGAAUCUCAGAGAAGGUAACUCGUGAUCUACGUGAUGGCAAGACUGAGGCAGACGGGCACCUUUGAAGACCUGCCAGGGGAAAGCAGUCGAGGAGGGGGAAUGUCUCCAGAACCUGGAACUUCCGAUUCUUCAGGGUGACAGAACCAGAUCUUGGGAAGAAGGACAUGCCUCAUGAUGGAAUCUGAUCUCUAGCAUGUUCUACUUUACUGAAGAAAAUAUACUGCUAAUAAUUUAACUGCACUUCGAUUAUCAGGAUAAGUUGUGCAAUAAAAUAUGCAGAUAGAAUGGAAACUUCAUAAGUGACAAAUGAUAAAUGAUAUAAAGCAGUGGAUAAUUUUACUUAGCUUCGAUUUUAAUGUUUAUCAAAUGAACGAAGCAAUGUAUUUAUAUGCAGAAAGCCACAUUAUCAUAAAUAUAUUUGCUAAAACAGGAAGAAUAAAUUGCGGUUA